rnacentral:misc_RNA from 1 species
UCGUAACAAGGUCUCCGUAGGUGAACCUGCGGAGGGAUCAUUACACAAUAAAAUACGAAGGCCGUUCGCGGCUGGACUAUUUAUUACCCUUGUCUUUUGCGCACUUGUUGUUUCCUGGGCGGGUUCGCUCGCCACCAGGACCACAAUAUAAACCUUUUUUAUGCAGUUGCAAUCAGCGUCAGUAUAACAAAUGUAAAUCAUUUACAACUUUCAACAACGGAUCUCUUGGUUCUGGCAUCGAUGAAGAACGCAGCGAAAUGCGAUACGUAGUGUGAAUUGCAGAAUUCAGUGAAUCAUCGAAUCUUUGAACGCACAUUGCGCCCUUUGGUAUUCCAAAGGGCAUGCCUGUUCGAGCGUCAUUUGUACCCUCAAGCUUUGCUUGGUGUUGGGCGUUUUUGUCUUUGGCCCGCCAAAGACUCGCCUUAAAAUGAUUGGCAGCCGGCCUACUGGUUUCGCAGCGCAGCACAUUUUUGCGCUUGCAAUCAGCAAAAGAGGACGGCAAUCCAUCAAGACUCCUUCUCACGUUUGACCUCGGAUCAGGUAGGGAUACCCGCUGAACUUAAGCAUAUCAAUAA